GAGUAGAGCAGUGGUAGCUCGUCGGGCUCAUAACCCGGAGGUCGCAGGUUCGAAUCCUGUCUCC
rnacentral:tRNA from 1 species